rnacentral:rRNA from 1 species
AUGGCGGAAGCAGGGGAAUGGCUGCCGUACGUCUCCACGCUGGCGUCCUGCCUCCUCGGCUUCGCGCUCUACUUCUACGCGCCCUACUGGGGAGUCCGGGGCGUGCCGGGCCCUCCGGCGCUGCCGGUCGUCGGCCACCUGCCGCUGCUCGCCCUCCACGGCCCCGACGUCUUCGGCGCCCUCGCCAGGAAAUACGGCCCCAUCUUCAGGUUCCAUCUCGGGAGGCAGCCUCUGGUGGUCGUGGCUGACCCGGAGCUGUGCAAGGAGGUCGGGGUGCGGCAGUUCAAGAGCGUCCCCAACCGGAGCCUGCCGUCGCCGAUCGCCGGCUCCGGUCUCCACCGGAAGGGCCUCUUCUUCACGAGGGACGAGAGGUGGUCGGCCAUGCGGAACACCAUCAUCUCGCUCUACCAGCCGUCGCACCUCGCCGGCCUCAUCCCCACCAUGCAGCGCUGCAUCGAGCGCGCCGCCGACACCAUACAGUUGAACGGCAACGCCGACGUCGACAUCGACUUCUCCGACCUCGCCCUCAAGCUGGCCACCGACGUCAUCGGCCAGGCGGCGUUCGGCGUCGACUUCGCGCUCUCGGCGCCGCGCGAGCAUGGCGGACGCGAGGCCGCAGAGUUCAUCGCCGAGCACGUUCACUCCACCACCUCGCUCAAGAUGGACCUGUCGGCGUCCCUCUCCAUCGUGCUGGGCCUCGUCGCGCCGGCGCUGCAGGGGCCGGCGCGGGGGCUUCUCCGGCGACUCCCCGGGACGGCGGACCGGAGGAUUGCGCGGACGAACGACCGGCUGCGGGCGAGGGUGGAGGGGAUCGUGGCGAGCAGGGAGCGCGACCUGGACAAGAGAAGAGGGCAGAGGGACUUCCUGUCGGCGCUGCUCAACGCCCGGGACAGCGGGGGCGACAAGAUGAGGGUGCUGCUGACGCCGGAGUACGUGGGCGCGCUCACCUACGAGCACCUCCUCGCCGGGUCGGCCACCACGUCCUUCACGCUAGCCUCCGCCGUGUACCUCGUCGCCGGCCACCCGGAGGUCGAGGCCAAGCUGCUGGCCGAGGUCGACCGGUCCGGCGCCGCACCGCCGACGGCCGACGAUCUCCAGCGAAACUUCCCCUACCUCGACCAGGUGAUAAAGGAGGCGACGCGGUUCUACACGGUGUCGCCGCUGAUCGCGAGGGAGACGUCGCGGCGGGUGGAGGUCGGGGGCCACGCGCUCCCGAAGGGCACGUGGCUGUGGCUGGCGCCGGGGGUGCUGGCGAGGGACGCGGCGCAGUUCCCGGAGCCCGGCGAGUUCCGGCCGGAGCGGUUCGAGGCCGGGUGCGAGGAGGAGCGGCGGCGGCACCCGUACGCGCACGUGCCGUUCGGGCUGGGCCCGCGGGCGUGCGUCGGGCAGCGGUUCGCGCUGCAGGAGGUGAAGCUGGCCAUGGUCCACCUGUACCGCCGCUACGUGUUCCGCCGGUCGCCGCGGAUGGAGUCGCCGCCGGAGUUCCACUUCGGGAUCGUGCUGGGCUUCAAGCACGGCGUCAAGCUCAGGGCCAUCGAGCGGCGCAGCCCCGCCUAG